UGAGGAAUAUUGGUCAAUGGACGGAAGUCUGAACCAGCCAAGUAGCGUGCAGGAUGACGGCCCUAUGGGUUGUAAACUGCUUUUGUAUGGGGAUAAAGUUAGGGACGUGUCCCUAUUUGCAGGUACCAUAUGAAUAAGGACCGGCUAAUUCCGUGCCAGCAGCCGCGGUAAUACGGAAGGUUCAGGCGUUAUCCGGAUUUAUUGGGUUUAAAGGGAGCGUAGGCUGGAGAUUAAGUGUGUUGUGAAAUGUAGACGCUCAACGUCUGACUUGCAGCGCAUACUGGUUUCCUUGAGUACGCACAACGUUGGCGGAAUUCGUCGUGUAGCGGUGAAAUGCUUAGAUAUGACGAAGAACUCCGAUUGCGAAGGCAGCUGACGGGAGCGCAACUGACGCUUAAGCUCGAAGGUGCGGGUAUCAAACAGGAUUAGAUACCCUGGUAGUCCGCACAGUAAACGAUGGAUGCCCGCUGUUGGUACCUGGUAUCAGCGGCUAAGCGAAAGCAUUAAGCAUCCCACCUGGGGAGUACGCCGGCACGGU
rnacentral:rRNA from 1 species